rnacentral:miRNA from 1 species
CCCCAACUCUAGGGGCAUCUCGACGUUCCUGAAUUUUUUCACGUUUACAUCUCUCCCACCAGACUGUGAGCUGCUGGAGUCCAGGACCU